UCAACAAACUAUUCCUUAUAUAACAUAUACAAUGAAAUGAUAACAAUGACGACCUUGCUGUUUUCUCUGGAAAUUAAAACUUUAUUUUUUCUUUAGAUAAUGUGAGCUGAAACACCUUGAUAAAGAAAAAGCACUUAAAAAAUAGUAGUUUAAACAGUAGUACUGUAGUUUGAUUUUUCAUAAAUCACAUAAGCCUCAUUCGUAAAACGAUUGGUCUAAUAUUUGAAACUCUAUAAAAUGUAAUCUUUAGCUGGCUAACUACCAAUAUAUUUAGUUAAAGGUAAAAUCUAAAAGUAAUAAACGUAAAUAUAUUCAUUUUACAGAUGCAAGGCUGGUGAUAUACUUUAAUUUAAGGUAUUAUAUAAUAAGUUGCGCAGUAGUAAUCAUAUGUUUAUAAAAUGCUGCGUUGUCUGUCGUGCGCGUCCGUCUUUUAUCUAUACCCGGAAAUAAGCAUUUCUUUAGAAUUACAUUCACAUCCAACAUCACGGUUUGCCACCCAGAAAUGCGGAAAAGGCCUAGUCACAUGGCGUGAUAAAGCCAAAUUGGUUUAUAUACAAAACAUGAGCAAGAUAACAACCGUCAAAAUUUGAUUUGUUUUAAAUUACAAAUCAUCGCGAAAAAGUGUUUGGAAACAUAUCGCAUGUGGACAUGAUAUAUACCCGCCCUGGGCUUAAUAAAUGAAAUUCAAAAUUCCAGCCCCGAUCUUGUUUGCAAAGGCAUAAAUCCAAAUUAUUAUGGAUACUAAGGGUAACGUAGAGAUAGUGAUGGUAAUGUAUGGAUAGUAGAGGACAGUUAAAUACGCAAGACGGAGGGCGAUCAAGAUGGGGGUGCCAUCCUACCUAAUGCGUUUUUACUAGUAAUUCCGUGAACACGCUCUUCGUUUACUCUAUCGUAUAAUUCACAAAUCAACCUCUUUGUACAGGCCAAUAAGAUGCUACCGUCUUAUACGGUUGUCUAGCAGUUUUCAACAUUUGUGAUUACGGAAAAGAAUUAAGAAAACUCGCUAUUUAUAAUUGGUAAUUUAAUUCAACACCGCAAAAUUUCUGACCCAAGAGUGCAUUCAUGUAAACUUACAUAAUUUACAUGUUUCUGACUAUAAUGAUUGUUAAUUUAUUGGUCAAUUUUGCUACCACAAAAAGACAAGUCAGGUUGUGUUUGGGGACAAGUUAACUGUCUUCUGCAUGACAGAGCCUGCAAGGAGUUUUUGGCGACUUGACUGUUUAGGAAAGUUCUAAAGUCAAUGGGGAGUAUGUGCCGGUAUAGUAUUUCUCUGUAAUGACUGAACUAAGACCAACUAACAUGCUGAAAGUUGGCCUGUGGACAAAUUGACGAAAGCCUGACAACUCAAGGCCAGGGUUAUUCAAGAUCUGUUUCCGUAUAAAUUCCGUUGGCGUUAAACUUAUUUUAUCCGUUUAGGGAUAUAGCUAUGUUAAUUGGUUCACUAUCACCGACUGAGCCUGGAGUACCAAAUUGUGGAUUAUCUUCAUAACCAGAUUAGAAAAUAAAUCUGCGUAUUAAUUAAUGAGUUACAUACCAUGGUACAGUUUAAGUCAUCGUAAUCUAUUUAUCUUUUUCUGGAUACAAAAAGUGGUCAAAAUAUUUCAAUAUUGGUUAAAAUUGCAACUUUUCUUUUAACUAAAUCAUGAUACUGACGUACAGUAUUGUGAUGAAAGUAAAAAUGGUUGAAUCACUGCCGAGGUUAAUUGCACGUGCGAUUGGCGAAAACCGCAAUAUGCUAGCUAUUUUACUCCCAUGGAUACCAUAUAUACGAAGAAACGGAAGAAUGUUGAUUUACUAUAAUCUUUCCUGACUUACAACUUUUCCAUUGACAAGUAAGGUCAUGCAAUAGAUUUUUAACAUAAUCAAGAUGCUAACAGGAGACUUCACCACUUACUACAUAUAAAAUUUUCAAGUGUUAAUUUUACCCUGACGAUUCUGAUUGUAAUAGAAUGCAUUUAUUGAGCUCAACUGCUCAAGGUUAUAUCUUACUCCACCUCUUAAUUUAUGGCUACUGCAAGUAACGCAAAGAACUUAAAAAAAUCUGAUACAUUGCCAUUGAUUCUAAAGAAGAGUAAUUGUUCUAAGCGAAAUUCGAAAAUUUCGAAGCGAUAUGAAGUGCAUUUAUUAAAUGGUAGUAUGCAUUAAUUCAAAAUGUGAGUAGAUAUAUGUGUUUCUUUUACCAACAUCUGCAUGUUCAACAGUAUCCAAACGAAUAUUCAUCACGUGAAAUACUUGGGUGAAAAUACUUUAGUUUCCCACAAUUACUAUCAUUGCAGAUUGUUUUACAUAUCAAGCAUGUUUCCCAAGAGGUUAUAAAACUAUGUAAAAAAUAAGGAUUAUACGACGUUGGUGUUUGUUUGUUUGUGGCAUCUCCUCCGGAGCCGUUUCGCUCAUAAUACUUCCUCUCGACCGGUAAUCUCGUACCCAUUAUCCAUAGUGUGCUCUGGGAAAACUGAAACAUCUGCAGAGGACCCAGGCCCUUAACUUUAAGGACAUACGUUUGCCAAUGUCAUGGUGAUUUUAUAUGUAUAACCCCAUCCACGCCGCAUAUGUAUCAAAAAGUAGAUAAUCUUAAAAUGGUCAAUAGACAAUAAAUUGAAAAUUUCUGCGAAUAUCAGAAUAUGUGCUAUUAAGGGAUCUUUGAUUUCUUCACUAUUUUUUCUUACAAUUAAUGAAUUAAACUUACAUGUAUAGCACAGUUAUAUACGACCAAUUUAGUUCACCUAUAAUAAUAUAUAGUCUAUAUUAGGUAAUAGUGAGUUUUCAUACAUAAAACAUAUUAAAAGAAGUAUUUGGGGAGGUAUAGUCAUCAACAUGGUUGGGUGGAUAGACGUUAAUAAGAUUUUUGGAAGAUAAUAGUGCAUUAAUUGUGACACAUAUACAUACAUCAUGGGUAAGAGCAUGCUAAAACACCACUAGGUCCUAAUUAAUUAGCUUAAUUAGAAGCUAUUUCAUGACGUAAAUUAGAACCUCGUUAGGUAAACAUGAACUCUUCGAGGGAAAUUAAAAAGAGGGUACUUUACAAUUCUGCAGCUAUUUGUACAUGUAUGUAUAUGGUUGAAGUACACGCACAACAUAUUUCUCAACGUGGGUGGCAGAGAGUUCACAAAUAUCCCCCUGAAAGACUACAGCUAAUGUCUGCCGUUUAUUUACCCUUGCUGAAAUACAUAGGCUUGAUUCCAACCGAACAUAUUUAAAAAUAGACUGCUUUGUUUUCUUAACUCUAUAUAUAUUAGCUUUGCCAAAUUAGAAAUAAGAUGUGAAGGGACAGAUCAUAUAGUUAAUUUUCUAUUAACUACGGCAGAUCCAUGAUGUAUUAUAAUUGUUAAUAUUGUUUUGUAUGCAUAUGAAAAGACUUCUGAAUGCACAUUAAUUUAACAAAAUGAAAUAUAAUGUUAUUAAUUGGUAUGUUCUAAUUUACAAUAAAUGGGCUGUGGGCAUGAAGCCAGUAUUGUUAUGCAACUGGCAACAGCCGUGCAGUAUUAUACAAACAACACCUGCAACUUGGUUAGAUUUCCAGCUUUUCAGUCUGUUUGCCUCACCAUUGUAAAUAGUUAUUUUCUUAUUCUUGUACAUGAACAAUUUAUUCUAAUAAUAUCGAAAAUUAAAGAACACAACUGAAUAGGCCAAGCAGCAGAGGGAGAUUUUAUAUAACAACGUUUGCAAGUCAAGGUCAAUAUAUAGCCUACUGUAUAUCACGGGCUUCAUCUUAGCCUAAGGUUGUAUAUAUAGUUGACAUUUAUACCAGCGCGCGGUCUCUUUGUUUGUUGUGAAAAUAUAGAUUUAAUUUGAAGUAUUGCAGACAAAAACACUUGUGUAAAGCUUCCGCACGAUAGAAUCUUUCGACAAAUAUACAGUUAAAAAAAUAGGAGACUUUCAAACUGGAUUUAACCCGUAUACUCGUGUGGCUGUGAAAACAAGUAUUGUAGAUCUUUAGAGAACGUGCAGUGAAUAGAUGUUUAUUACAGCUAAUUCAAUAAUUAUAAGGUUGUCCUCUGAAGCCGAAGGUCAUCUGGUCAUGCUGAAACUCACAACCGCAAAAACGUCUACCUCUAUAUAAGCGCGAAAAUCGCAAUGGGCGUGUUCAGCUUUUAGGGAUGUAGAUUUUUUUUUUUUUGGGGGGGGGGGUUGGGCAAAUACCAAAAAAAAUUCGAGCAGAACUUUAACCAAGGAAAAAAAUAUCUUGCACAAGAAACCUACAGGAAAAAAAUUGUGUAAAGGCAAAGCGCCAUGGUUUUAGAACUAUACGAAUAUACGUGGUAUUUCAUACCUUUUAAGAAGAUUGUAGGAUUUUAUAUCAAAUCUGAUAUGAAACAAGGCUUCAUAUAAAAUAUGGAUACGUGUUUUUGAUUAAACAUUAGUUUAAUCAUGCAUCCAUGACUGGAUGCAUGAUUCGAUGUACAAUCUUGGUAAAAAGUUAAGUGAAACACUCCUAUAAAAAAUCAAUAAAAUAGACAAAAAACCCUCCCCUUUAACAAUGUUAGCCAUAGAGUCUAAAAAAUUGUGUUCAAUAGUUCAUCGAUGGCAUGCAGAGAGCACUAUGUGUAGGUUUUCUUACUCAUCUUAAUCAACAUUGUAAGGAGGAAAGGGGAGAAGAAAUUCGAAGAAUAGAUUAAAUUGUUAAUAUACUGGAUGUUUCAUUAGUUUUGUUUCAUCAGCAGGCCGUUAUAGAUUGCACCGCAAUAUAGUAUUUCGCCACAGGCAGAGUUAUAUAUCAGAAAUAACAUGCUUACUAACUUAUUAUUAAUCUAUAGCUCUUAAAUAAUUAUAGUAGAUUAUAGAUGUUUACACUGACACUGGCUUCUGUGCAAGAACGUUUGGAACUUUUAGUAUGCUGUAUAUAUGAACAUCAUGCCGUCACAAACUGCAAGCAUUGUUUUUCAGCCGAUAUCGAUUCUUCUACAUCUCCCUGUGUAUUUUUAUUCAAGGCACUAAACAAAUAUGAUAUGCAUUUAAUGUGCCUAUUACCAAAUAAAAUAUCAGUUAUAUAAAUUGUCUGUUGGAGCACUGAAAACAAAAUACAAUUGUAAAAAAUGUAAAUAAUGCAAAGAAUGACAGAAAUUAAUCUAUAUACUACCACGAUACAACUGUCACGACUCAAUAAAGGAAAAUGCAAAGCAAUAUUUCCAAAGAACGAAGAAACACAAAAGAGUUUAUUAAUACACCAACAGAAUACAAAAGUCUGACAAUAAUAAUUUUUCUUAAAACGUGGUGACAAUCCUGUAUGGAGUGACCUUUUGUCCUUCUUGCCCCCUGUCAUAAGUCCUCUAUAUUUUUUGUACGCCUGAAUAAAAAUGAAACCAGAAGUUAAAACGUUAUAACUGUUAAAUAAAUAUUUAUAUUAUAUAUAUAUAUUGUAUAUUGUAUAUUAUAUAUACGAUAACACAUCUAUAUAUAGUCUACACAACGUCUCAUAUGCAUGUCAACCGCAAUUGAGUUGUUGAAUCAUAUUAUAUCAUAGCGAGUAUCGUCAGUCUAGUGUGCGGAGUAUAUAUUGUAUACUGUUAUGAUUGAUCAGCCAGCUUUAGUCUUACAAGCUUGAAUCAGUUCAGAAACAGUUCUACGGUUUGGUAUAGCACUUCCGUUUGAGUACCUUUUCAUAGACAUAUAGUUAGCCGGUGCACGUUGGCCGUUGCUCUCAGAAGCCAUAGUAGCCAUGUAUAUUUCAAUACAGCAUCUUCCGUCAUUCUCAGUUUACCUAUAAGGUUUGUUUCCCAGCUAUGAUCUCUACAAGGAAAUAACAAAUCAACUAUAGUUCAAUGUCAAGGGGAACUGACAUUUUUGAACAUAUUCUUACACUGGUACGAAUUACACAGUUUCACUCCCGCCGCCAUGCACGUUUCAAUUUUUCAACUACACAACUCCAGAAGGAAUCGAAUUAUGAUGUAAUAAGUGCUCUCAACUUAGGCCCUAAUGGAAUUUGAGGAAUUCGCCUAUGUUUUUCUUGAAAUCAAACAUAUUCCUUGUAUAGUUAUUCACAACGCGAUUAGUGUCGUGGAAUAAACAAGAUUCAAGAAUUUAGGACUUUUAUAAUAAAAUAACAUCGUAAGCACAGGGAAUAUACCGCCAUGUGGGCGUGUUGAAGCCCCUUACAUCGAUUAUAUAUUGGCACAUUAUUCACAUUCAUACUUAAUUUAUACUUUAUUCUUCUUUCAAUUGAAAAGUACCGUGCUUUUAAAUCAGUAUCCUAUCAUUCGACUUUAAGUCCAGCCAUUAAUAAUUUGACCAAAGCAUCCGAUUGAUCCAAGUCACCAAAAAAGAUGACUCAUGCCGCAUGUUAUUUUACUUAACUGAACGAUUUUGGCGAUCCUAAUUCCUAAGGUGAUUAUUAUGAAUAUGAAAAAAGUGUUUAAUAAGAAUUAUUAAUUCCUUUUUAGUAAUUUCAGUGUUCUCAAUGCAUUGUUAAUUCUAAGUAUUCUACAUUUAGGCGACUCCCACUGCAUAUCAUUCGAAGCUCCGCUAUCAAAGUGUACUAUCUAUUCAAAUUUUAUGUAUUUCCAUUAAUCUAUUCCAGAUAUCUGCGUGCUAGUUUUAUAUAGACUACAUUUCCAACACUGAAUUAUUAUUGACCCUCAGUAGGCCUAUACAUAGCCAUAUAGUUCUUGAUUUUAUAACAAUUGUUGGCAUUGAGGUGAAUCACGUUGAAAGCUAAAAUUAUAUCUAUCAUAUUGACAUAUUCUAUAAAACAGCACUAUACUCACCUAAUUUGGUGAUUACUAUAAGUUAGGGAUAACGUUUGAAUUCCACUCAGGACUCAGGUUAAUCUUAUAGUCGUAUCGUACUGAAGUAUAUUACAAGAGGCAAUUCAGGCUCUCAGUACUGUGUUGUUUUAUUUUAUAUUCUGAAAAUAUGGCUUGAUGAAAUCUUGUUCCUCUAACGCAGUACCAAUAUUAAAACAUUUAAAAAACAUAUAACACUCAUCAGGCUCGAGAGGUUCUCUUUGCUAUACCUGCGUUUCAGCCCUGAACAAUAUGAACGCACUUAAUAUCAUUAAUUAAAUGACACAAUGGUAAACCAUGUGGGUGUUCUCUGCGUGCAUCCGUAGUUCUGUCUGAAUUUGCAAAUUUUUGUUGUAGCUAUAAAUUUGUACAAUUACACGAAUUUCCUGGGUGCAGCUAUAGCAGGUAUUCUUACUUAAUUGAAUAACGUUUUAUUGACAUGCAGAAAAUCAAUUUAUUUACAUUGGAUUGCUGGUAUAGGCCAGGAAACAAUUGCGAUGGAAGAAAAAACAUUCAGUGAAUAAUGCUAUAGAAGGAAAUUUCGGAUUGAUAGGGAUGCAACUACCGGCUGAAAAAUACCAGGAGAACUUCAACGUUUCGGCUUCGUCGGGAAUCAGGUAGUUGCAAGGCAUUUUUUAAUACCAUGGACUAGUGGGGCAUUUGCCCCACUGGGCUCCUUCCUCUACCCCACCACUGAAGAAAAAAAAUGGCCUAUUGCCCCAAAGCCAGGACCCUAGGACCUGUAUUGAGUAAAUGAGUUUAACAUUGAAAAGAAGUUUAAAAAACAAAAUUUGUUGGUGAGCAUAUACUCCUUAAACUUAUGUUAUGUUUGAAUGUUUAACAUGCAAUUUAUUACAAAUUUCACCAUUAAAACUUUGUUUUGAGAAGGAGAGAUUUUUUUAAAAUGUGUUCUCAGAAUGCAGGAAAUGCUAUUUCAGAGAUCCAAAUUUUAAAAAUUUCCUGGAGGGUGCAUGCCCCCAGCUUCAACCUCCCUAGCUAACUCGUGCCUGCGGUACUCUGCUCACACCUUCGGCGAUCACAUACUAUGCUGGGGGAGGGCAUGGAAAAUGGACACUUUGGCAGUUUUUCCCCACCACUGAAGAAUCCUUAAAAAAUGCACUGGGUAGUUGCAUCCCUACUCGAUCCGAUGUUUCCUUAUUAUUGGCACUACCUAUACACUGGCACAAACCGUUCAAGAUUAAUGCUGUAGAGUUGUUCGUUUGCAGUUAACUAUAACGGGAAAUAUACGUAUAGAUUAUAAACUGAACGAACUCUGUUUAUACUGGGCAAUGCUUGGUUUGCGGGCCAAUGGCUUAACUGUGUCUAACAUCUCAGUGAUUCCGAACUAUGUAAUAUGUCUACCUGUAGUUUGUUGGGCAUCAGAUGUACAUGCUCCCCUGUUCAGCUAGUUCCCCCACCGUGCCAUUCAAUGAAGUUCAGGAUACAAAUACAGUAUCAAUUCAAAAAACAGUCAAAAUAAUAUAGAGAAAAAUAUAUUUAUUAACGUUUCGGGGCAAGCCCCUUCUUCAGAAACGAUCAAAUUAUCUUACAAAGCCUUGUCCACAGUUAUUAUACUGUAGUCCUCUAUACUUAAAAUUUACAUCAAUUAAACUAUAGUAAUUACCUUCCUCCCUCAUGUUUAAUCCCAAUGGAUAAUAACAAUUGAUUUUUCUACCCAAUAACUUUCCCUUUCCGUAGGGUUGAUAACAUCAGUUCUAGAAUGCCCCUCCCCGAAGAAAUGCUCAUACAAGUGGUGACCACUAAUGUUUUAUAUACCUUGCCCAUACCUAUUUAGUCCAAUAGAGAGCUUUUUGUGAUUGUUAAAUCUCAAUCUAAACGACGUAUAUUAUUAAUAGUACAGCCCACAUAUUGCAUCUUACAUGCCUUACAAAUAACUAAAUAAACCACCCCCUUCCGAAUUGCAGUCGAAGCGAUGAUUAAUGUGAAAAAUUUUCUACCCUCAACAUAACUCUCAAAAGAUGAGCCAACCAAAACAUUAUCACAAACUUUACAUUUUCUACUUCCACACUUAAACAUACCUCCGACUGCAUCUUUUUCCUUAGGCAGCUUAGAUCGAACUAGAUGAUCCUUAAGAUUUUUACAUCUACGGAAACUUAUCAUGAGUGGUUCUGGCAUUACGCUUAAAAAGCUAUCAGACAAACCUAUGAUUUGUUGUAACUCCCUAAAUAUUAAGUAGAGAGCACUUAAAGCUGGAUGCUAAUCAACCACGAAACAAUUCCUACUUAUUGUUUCAGAAUUCUCUUUAUGCGUAAACAAACUAGUCCUACUAAUCCCCUUCACCCUGCUAAAUUGACUCUCUACGAAAUCUGAAUCAUAACCCCUUUUAACUAAAUAACCCUUUAACUCCUGCAAUGGUUUCUUCAGGUUGUUUUCAUCACUACAAAUGCGUUUUAACCUCAAGGUUUGGCUAUAUGGUAUUCCCUUCUUGAUAUGCGGUGCAUGGCACGAUUUAAAAUUUAAAUACUGAUAAGCGUCAGUUGGUUUAGAAUACACAUCAGUCUGAAACGCACCAUUAACUUUAAUCACCCUCACACCGAGCUAGAUUCCCAAGUAAACUUAAUGCUUUCACGAAAUGAAUUCAGUCGAGCGAGAAAAUAAUUUAAUUCCUUCUCACCAUGAAGCCAAAUCAUAAAAACAUCAUCCAAUUAAAAAUCUCCACCAUACCCAGGGCCUAAGUUCACAUGAACUAUCCAAAAAUUCCUCCUCAAGAUAAACCACAAAAAUAUUAGGGAGCUUAAGCAUGUAGGACGGCAACACGACGACGACGGCAACCAAUACAAUGAGUCAAUGAAAAGUGAAUAUAUAAUUAAAGUCCCAGGGGAAUUUCAGACGUGGUCGUCGCUCUGUUUACAACGGCAAAUCACAGAUUUUCACGUCUUUUAUACAACGCCUCCAUUCCAAGCCGUAACAAGUGCAACUUAAAAUUCGGUCAGUAGAACUCUUCCCAAACAUAAAGCCAAUGUUUUCAGCUUCUUAUACUGUAUUAAGUUCAUACGAAUUAUAAUAUACGACAAGUUUUCUUUACUAUCAUUUAUUUGAAGGAAUUUGUUUUGGCCAUCGUCCUCGUGUUGCCGUCUUGCAUGCUUAAGCUCCCUAAUAGCAUAACCCGGAGCAAACGUAGUUCCAAUAGUCGUAACUACCUAACUUUUGACGAAACAAUUUCUCAUCAAACUCAAAAUAGUUAUUCUCUAAAACCACCUUCGUCUACCGGUAAUUCUGCAUCCGAUUUAUCCAAAGCCUUUUUAAGGGCUUCUAAACCUUCUUUAUGCGGAAUAUGUGGGUAUAAACCUACCACAUCCACAAGGAAAAAUCCUUUACCUGAGUACCAGAAAAGGUUGAUACCGCAAUUGAAGUAUACUGUUCUAAGUUAGAGGAAAAAGUUUGCGGUUUAAGUUAUGAAGGAAAAAAUUAUAGUAAUUUUCCUUUGGAAGAAAUUAAUGCGUUAAAACAGCUAAAAUGUACUUAUAAGGAUAUUGUUAUUAAGGAAGCGGAUAAGAGAUCGACUGUAGUAGUUUGGGACAGGACAGGAAGAUUAUUGUAUAGAAACCUAUAAUCAUCUUUUAAGAUGAAAUGAUGAGUCUGUUUAUGAGCUUAUUAAUGAUCGUGUCAUGCAAACAGGUAUUGAAACCAUUGGUAGAUAUAGAGGUUUUCUUCCCGAAAAGAAUUUGAAAUAUCUGGUUUUGCUACCUAUAAGAUUCAUAAACGUCUUGAAAAUGUCCCGGGUAGACCAGUUAUUUCGCCAAUUGCGGUACAGCCACGGAAAGAGUUUCAGAAUUUUUGGAUUUUAAUACAGCCUUUAGUCGAGCAAAUACCCUCUAUUAUCAGGGAUAGUACGCAUUUUUUGCAGAGAUUGGGAAGUCUUGGACAUAUACCGUCGAUUGCAAUUUUGUGUACUAUGGAUGUGGUAGGUUUAUACCCACAUAUUCCGCAUAAAGAAGGUUUAGAAGCCCUUAAAAAGGCUAUGGAUAAAUCGGAUGCAGAAUUACCGGUAGACGAAUUAGUUUCAUUAAGGUGGUUUUAGAGAAGGUGGUUUUAGAGAAUAACUAUUUUGAGUUUGAUGAAAAAUUGUUUCGUCAAAAGUUAUAUAGGUACGGCUAUUGGAAUUAAGUUCGCUUCGGGUUAUGCUAAUAAUUUAUGGGUUAUCUUGAGGAGGAAUUUUUGCCGGAUAGCUGUGAACUUAGGCCCUGCAUGGGUAUAUGGUGCAUGGAGAUUUUUGGAUGAUGUUUUUAUGAUUUGGCUUAUGGUGAGAAGGAAUUAAAUGAUUUUCUCGCUCGACUGAAUUCAUUUCGUGAAAGGAUUAAGUUUACUUGGGAAUCUAGCUCGGAAGGAAUUUCCUUUCUUGAUGUGAGGGUGAUUAAAGUGAAUGGUACGCGCGUUUCAGACUGAUGUGUUUUCUAUAAACCAACUGACGCUCAUCAAUAUUUAAAUUUUAAAUCGUGCCAUGCACCGCAUAUCAAGAAGGGAGUGAAUACCAUAUAGCAAAGCCUUGAGGUUAAAACGCAUUUGUAUAGAUGAAAACAACCUUAAGAAACGAUUGCAGGAGUUAAUUAAAGGUUAUUUAGUUAAAAGGGGUUAUGAUUCAGAUUUCGUAGAGAGCCAAUUUAGCAGGGUGAAGGGGAUUAGUAGGACUAGUUUGUUUACGCGUAAAGUCUAAAGAGAGUCCUGAAACAAAAAGUAGGAAUUGUUUCGUGGUUGAUUAUCACCCAGCUUUAAGUGCUCUCUACUUAAUAUUUCAUAAAUCAUAUAGGUUUGUCUGAUAGCUUUUUAAUCGUAAUGCCAGAACCACCCAUGAUAGGUUUCCAUAAAUGUAAAAAUCUUAAGGAUCAUCUAGUUCGAUCUAAGCUGUCUAAGGAAAAAGAUGCAGUCGGGGUAUGUUUAAGUGUGGAAGUAGAAAAUGUAAAGUUUGUGAUAAUGUUUUGGUUGGCUCAUCUUUUGAGAGUCAUGUUGCAUGUUGAGGGUAGAAACUUUUUCACAUUAAUCAUCGCUUCGACUGCAAUUCGGAAGGGGGUGGUUUAUUUAGUUACCGGUUAAUUGUAAGGCAUGUAAGAUGCAAUAUGUGGGCUGUAUUAUAUACGUCGUUUAGAUUGAGAUUUAACAAUCACAAAAAGCUCUCUAAAUAGGUAUGGGCAAGGUAUAAGAAAUGUUAGUGGUCGGCAACACUUGUACGAGUGACUUCGGGGUUCAAAUUAUUGAUAGUAUACUGAUGUUAUCAACCUUACGGAAAGGGAAAGUUAUUGGAUAGAGAACAUCAAUUGUUAUUGUCCAUUGGGAUUAAACAUGAGGGAGGAAAGUAAUUACUAGUUUAAUUUAUGUAAAUUUUAAGUAUAUAGAGGAUUAUAAAAACUGUGGACAAGGCCUUGUAAGGUAAUUUGAUCGUUUCUGAAGAAGUGGCUUUAUAAUAAAUUUUUUUUCUAUAUUAUUUUGACUGUUUUUUUUGAAUUGAUACUUAUAUAAUGCUUUUUUGUUGUUGAAGAUGUUCUAUAUAGUUUAUAUAGUACAAUAAUGCAAAAUAAACAAAAACAAUUACUGAGCAUUAAUAAAUUGAUCUCAUGUUCAUGUGAUCAUUCACACAUAUUCAACACCAUAUAUUUUGCACCACGUACAUAGCCUGCUCUUUCUUACUCUGACGUGCUUAGUUAGAUAAUUAUGAAGAUAAACUAGAGUGUUAUUUAUUUUGGCAUUACAAAACCGGCUUCAUUUAAAAGAUUAAAAAUUCAUCCAAAAACUGUUAACUUCCUGGAUGUCGCACGUAGUGCAGAGAUGCAUGAAGUCAGGCUUCAUUCCGAUGAAAUACUGUAAUUAUAAUGCAGAAAAAGCAUAACUAAAAACAUAAUUUUUCAGAUAGAAUCGAUUGUAACGAGGUGAGUUUUUCGUUUCAAUUUGAAAUCAUCCGGGAAUGGAAGUUUCUUUGGUGUAAACAAUACCCAAAUUUCGCGUUGUUUCGACAUCUUCUAAAUUGAAACUCUAAUCUAUAUUUAUUCAUUUAAAAGCAUAGCGAAUCAGAACGAUGUUAGAUAUUAACUAAUAUAUGAAUAUAUAGUGCUUUCAAAAUGUAAACAAACUGCACACUGAUCCGCUGGACGGACUCGGACCGCCUCUUUAACAAUAUAUAGAUUCCAGCGGAGGAAGCUAUGAAAAUUUAUAACUUAUCAUAAUCGUGGUUUGCAUAUGGCUACAAUUAAUUGCGCACGCGUAACGUGGUACGGGAGUGCAGCAUGGUCUCCUCAUUGAUAUAUAUAUAUAUAUAUAUAUAUAUAUAUAUAUAUAUAUAUAUAUAUAUAUAUAUAUAUAUAUAUAUAUAUAUAUAUAUAUAUAUAUAUAUACCAGGAGCACCUAACCCAUUUAACCCCUUGCCUUGAUGGGGGGAACGAAAAACUGCGCAAACAUUCCGUGACGUAAGGCAAAAUACAAUCUUUAAUAUAAAUAAAUACUGCACAAAUGGGCUAAACUAGUUUUUCGUCAUUAAUACAUGAGGUGACGUAAAAGGAGCAUGCAGCUAUGGUAUACAAACAAGUUUAUUUUUCAUCGUUCAUGAGAACUGCGGUUUUCUAAUACCAAAAUUUCAAGUGGUUUAAAUAUCUACAAAAUUAAUGAAGUUGCGCGCGGUUUUCUAAUCUUAUUUACUCUCAGGAUUAUAACUUAGGAUUAUAACUUUUGACCGUGCAUGUAGGAGUUUUUGACGCCCUUUAGCGUAAGAGUUUUGCAAGAAGUUUAGCUAUAUAUGUUUCCGUUAUUUGCAUGCCAUUUGCUUGAUAGUAAAACUGAUUUCAACAUCACCUAUCGAUUCGCUUGCCGAAUUUGACAGAUAUAAAACCUCCUCUCUUUCACUAACAUUCUGGUUUCACAAUUGGCUCGCUGAAUCUACUCUAUCCAGUCUUGAAGUCCAAAUUUUGGACAACAUUUUAGUUUUAAUGUAAUUAAGUGUUUUUAAUUCAUCUUCGGGUAAAAGCACGUAAAAGCAACGCCAAUUACCGAAGCUUAAUUUGCUGAGUCGUCGUUUAUGUUGUUCAAUUUUUUACUAUAUGACUCUUGCAAUUUGUGCCGGAUGGACAAGCUCUGAUUUUAUUUCAGUUUAGUGGACUCAGUGAACAGCAAUUCAAACUUUUUAUAUUUUUCAAUGUUUUUAUAUUUGUCAACUAUCCAAAUCGCUGAGCUAUAAAGUAUAAUGCUCUUUUACGUAUACAGCUAUUUCAAUUAAGGUUGUCCACGAACAAAGCGGAAAAGUCGAAUACGAGCGCGAAAGGCUGCUGGGAAUCGCUAACAAAUUAAUGAAUUUUCAAAGCAAUUCCCAGCAGCCUUUCGCGCUCGUAUUCGACUUUUCCGCUUUGCUCGUGGACAACCUUAAUUGAAAUAGCUGUAUACCGCCAACCAAUCAAAUUUCGUGUUGAGUCCUGCAUAUCGUAUAAUAGAAAUUAGAAAGACCCACGCAUGCAUAUAACAGCCGUAGAAAGGGAAAAAUAAUUCAGUAAACAUUGGGUAAACCCAAGUAGGUCAGAUUGUAAAAUAAGCUCCUUACCACUUUCUUCUGAUUGUUUAUAUUGGUAAAUAGGACAAAUCAGUUGAAGGUAUUACAGCUUAAGCCACGCAUGGGGUUUUUCAAAACUUCAUCGAGUUUCCGCCUUUGAAAACGAGUUAAUUCCAUUUAUCACUUAUAGAUUAUACCACAAACUCUGAGCACUACUGGG